CGAUUAACCUCUAUUUGCCGAUCAAUCUCCAGAACAGUCCGACCGACAUCCGACUUUGACCCACCAAAUAAAUGGAUGAUUCUGAAAGCGACUACCGACUAUAUAUCGACUGAGCAGACCGACACUACUUUCAACCGACCGACCGAACUUCUUUUACCGACCCAGAUCAGUAAGCGGUCGAUAUUCGGACUCCACAAACAACAGACUACUUCGACUGUCGGUAUUUCAGAGUUAUUAACUGACAACCGACCCUCGACGCAUAGUCAGCCGACUCAUUCAAAUAUAUUAUAACCGUUACAGACGGUUACUCUACUGAUAUCGCGGCGUAACCCAUGGAGACUAAUAAUCUAUUGCGAGAUUACCACCUUGUGAUUCUACGCCGCUAAAUGCGGGACCAUAUCUGACGGUUACGACCAUCUACUCUAUAAAAAAGGGGUAAGGCAACAGUUUCGGUAAGCCAUUUUUUGACGCUGAGCUCUGUCACCGUUCUCAUUCUACUGUUGCCCAGUCUUCCUCUCUGACUUA
rnacentral:lncRNA from 1 species